CCUACGGGAGGCAGCAGUAAGGAAUAUUGGUCAAUGGACGCAAGUCUGAACCAGCCAUGCCGCGUGAAGGAUGAAGGUCCUCUGGAUUGUAAACUUCUUUUAUAGGGGACGAAAAAAGGGAAUUCUUUCUCACUUGACGGUACCCUAGGAAUAAGCACCGGCUAACUCCGUGCCAGCAGCCGCGGUAAUACGGAGGGUGCAAGCGUUAUCCGGAUUCACUGGGUUUAAAGGGUGCGUAGGUGGGCAUUUAAGUCAGUGGUGAAAUCUCCGGGCUUAACCCGGAAACUGCCAUUGAUACUAUUUGUCUUGAAUAUUGUGGAGGUAAGCGGAAUAUGUCAUGUAGCGGUGAAAUGCUUAGAUAUGACAUAGAACACCCAUUGCAAGGCAGCUUACUACGCAAAUAUUGACACUGAGGCACGAAAGCUGGGGAUCAAACAGGAUUAGAUACCCUGGUAGUCCACGCCCUAAACGAUGGGAUACUCGACAUACAGCGAUACACAGUGUGUCUGUAGCGAAGACGAUAGUA
rnacentral:rRNA from 1 species